GCUCAGCCUCUGGGUAUUAAUCUGCUGAGCUGGUGGCCACCUAAAUACAAUCGUCCUGUUCCCCUCAUUGGUCUCUCCGGUCUCCUGAUUCCAGCCACAUUUUGGUGAGCCAGCCAGGAGUGAAGACGACAGGUUUGCUGUCUCCUUUGCCUGUGGGUCUGGGGCCCCAGCCUGGGGGAGACCCGUGACUCCAGGCAUGCUAUCAGGACAACUUCAACCCGAGGGGAGAUCAGCUCUCCCGCAACCUGGUGCCGCUCUCUGACAGCACAACAGAACCUAAGGGGCUACAGGAUGAUUCAAGGAACAGUGUGCUACAGGACCUCGCAAGAAGACCCUCACCAGAUGCAGCCCCUCUAUGUUGGACUUCCCAGCCUCCGGAAGUUAGAAAUGUGCUACAACCACUCAAGGUCUGCAAACAGAUUCCUAUUUAGAUGUUGUUGAGAGGUAAGUACAACUAGUUCUCAUUAAUAUUUCAUGUCCUAUGUGCCAUACUUACACUGCCAUUUUGUAGUCAUUUGUCCUACAGCUAAAGAUUAAUUUAUAAUCAGAUACGUGAAAUCUGAUAUGUGCAUUAAGCUUGAUUAUACCUGACUGUGUCUUCACGAAGAUAAUUGUAAAUGACAUAUUAAUUAAUUUGCAAGUGUGUUCGGUUUACAUUACAUAUAGUAUCACAGACAACAUUACACAUAUGAUAAUUUGCCAUUAGUCCUAAAUAUUAAUAAUAUGAUUUCUCAAUGAGUCUGAAACAUUUUCAAGAUACUAGAAAUUUGUGACAGAUGCCUUUUACAUCUGUGAGAAUCCAGAAUAUUAUUCUUUAAAAUGCAUUUUCUCAUAAAUAGCUCAUUAACUUUCUCAUUGUUCUCAGUUGUAAAUCUGUAAAAAGCAAUUUUGUUCCCUUGUCUGUAAUAAGAAAUCUUUUGCACUCAUUAAGAUAAUUAAAGCAUUACUAGUGUGCAUGCUCACUAUAUUCAAAACAUUUUCUACUUGAUAUGAGUUGUCAUGGCAUUAUCAAGACCGGAGGGGGCGGAAAGAAAAAAAUAAAAUAGCGUCAGCCUAUGGUUAUGCUCUUUGAAUUUGAAUAUGAUUAAGUGCAUCUUUAAUUUGUUUCUGAGUCAUAGUUUAAAAUAAAAACUGGAGAGCAUUUUGUAGGAGCAAUACUGCCCUUUUGUUCAAUUUCCUUCUUUUAAUUCAACAGAACACUUAAUAAAA
rnacentral:lncRNA from 1 species